AGAGCUGCAGUAACAACUAAGGAUCCGAUAUAUAAUAACAUCAUGAAAGGGGCACGGAGCGGCGAUCCAAUAUACACCGGCGAUGAAGGAAGUGGGGAUGGACAUUCGUGGAUUUGCCGUCCCUGAUUUGCUUUGUGGAGGACACAUGCCCAUGAUUCAUAAUGAUUUGCGGCAGUCUUAGAAGAAAAUUUCCCAUUGCUUUCAUCCCCCUUUGAGUGUCAAUUGCAAAGUUCAUCCGUUGGUGAAAGGAAACUGUACUCUUCUUUGUUUUAGUGCUCUGCCUCCCUGCUUCUAUGACAGAAUGGCAUGGCUUCGUGUACAAUAAAUGUUCUCUACUCUUGCAGCCCAUGUAUUACCAUUGACAGGGUUUG